CUCAAGUGAUCCUCCUGCCUUGGCCUCUCAAAGUGCUGGGAUUACGUGCAUAGCCACUGUGCCCGACCAGGUUUAAGGAUUCUUUGUGCGUGGAGCGGUGAAGAAAAAGCUUAAUAAAUGGCAGAAAGGGUUUUCAUCCAGCCGAAUCCCAAGAGACGAAGGCCAGAUGAGCCUCGGCUGAGAACCUCUCUUAUCUUUCCUGACAUGAUGUUCCACUUCUCAGAGAAAGCAAACAGCUAAAUUCAUGGCAGAUAACCCUCCACACCACAUAAAAGCACCUGGCAGCUCUUUCCACAUUAGUUUAAGUUGACCUUCAUAAAUGUAGACCCAGCUGGACUUAUUUUUUAAUCUUAGUUGAUAGAAGGCCAGAAAACCUGAGAAGCAGAAAACAGUUAAUCCACUUUUCUGCUGCUUGGAAACAGUGUGGAAACAGUGUGUUGAAGGAAGGGCAUUUUUUUCUUUUAAUUCCUGUUAUCUCUAAGAACUCUGCCACAGCCACUAUUUAAAUACCUAGAACAGGAAGUAAAAAUGGGUGAGGCUCCCUUGGAAACACCUGCUUCUGCACAUUUUAAAUACCUUUUUUGUUUGUCACUCUACAUCACGAGGCUGGUAAGUGGGUGGCUUUUGCAGGCAGCUGGAAAACUGGACCUCGGACUACCGAGCUGCAUUUGUCUUGAACGGCUUCUGUGUGUGUAACACAAAGAAACGAGAGAUGAUGAGUGUUUGGUGACAGUUACUCAGUGUUAACUCUCAUCUCUGGAAGUGGUAAGAGGGCAUUUCACUUCCUUUGUUUUUGUCUGUUCCCUCUAAUAGUCCUAACUGGGAUUCAGAAAACCAAGGGCAUUCCCUGGGUAGUGCCAGGACUAGGACUGUGUCUUGUGAGGGUGAUUCAAGGCCAUGGCAGGUGACAGGGGAUGAACUAAUAGUUACAAAACCGAUUCUGGAGCUUUCUUUUUAAAAUUUAAUUUUAAAUUAUCAUAAAGUAAAAUGGACUUUUCUUUUUUGGUGUACUGUGUUACAUAUAGAUUCAGGUGGCCACCUCCUCUGUCAGUGUACGGAUCAUUCCAUCACCCCCAAAACUUCCCAGUGUGCUCCCUUCACAGUGACAGCCUCUCCCAUCCCUGUACCUCUGGGUACCCCCAAAUCUUGAACCCCUGAGCCUUCCAUGUUCACUGACAUGUAUUCCCCAGAAUAACCCGCAUAGGUAUUUCUAUCUUCAAUUUACAGAUAGAAAGACUGAGUCUUGGAGUGGUUAAGGAAUGUACCACAGGACACCUGGUGGGUAGUCCUGGGAUGGGGUCCUAGGUCUCUGGAGCCUCCUUUCUCUCCCAGUGGUCAUCCCAGGAUGGGCCGAGGAUUCUACACGCUGUCAGAACAUGUCUCUCUGGUUGCACAGAACAAGGACGUCUGUCUCGUUCUUACAGGAGUGGGGACCAUUUCACUUGUCAAACUGCCUUUCUCUUAGAAGCUUCUCAACCUCAGGCCACGGAGAUUUUAAAGUGCUCUUUGGCACCAGCAGGGGAUUGAUUUUCUGAGUUGGGUUUUGUUUUGGGUGUCAGAUUCAAAUAUUUGGUGUGCCUUCUGAGGGAAUUUUGAUGUUUGGAAAUGGGCGACUUAUUUUUGGAGACUUUUGUCCUUCCCAUAAUGGCAGGGAAUGAAAAUGCCACCCUUAGGAUUCACUACUCGAUGUGUCCAUAAAAAUUUUAUGUUCCGAAUGCUUUCUGGGCUUCCGUCAGGUUUUUAAAAACGUGGUGACACAAACACCAAAGAAGUGAGCUCUCAUCUCAGACUUGUCAUAACAAAAACCCACUUCAGAAUAAGGGAUGAGAGAGGGAUUACUUUCCUAAGAACAUUUAUUUAAGAGUAGGUUCUGUUUAGGUUUGAUGUUUAGAGUGGCAAGCAGGCAGGGGGUUGGUUCAGGGACUCCCUACUCUUUUCUGAACUAUGCUGGUGGAAGGAAAGUGUAGAAUUUUCUAUCAUGUGAUGUGGGUGCUCCGUCACCACGUGGUUCUGAAAGGUCAUUUUGAAAAGGCUUCUGAUGCAGUGUUCUGUAUACAGCACAAAGGGCAUGUUUAGAAAUGGUUUGUUUGGCGGAAGGAAUUUUCAGAAGGAAGGCUGACCUGGUUUCUGAAAGGAAAGGACUUCAUAUUAAUCAUGCAAGUGAAUUCUGGUUCCAAAUGUGAAAUACAUUCAACUUGUAAAUGGAUGGAGCCGCUAAUAAAAUUGGCAGUCAGAGGCUGUGAUUUUAAUCCAGCUCAAAGCAGCAGUUAAUCUGUGGUACAAUUUGAGGCUGACCCCACAAUGUGUACAUUCUCUGAAAUAGCCGCUCUUCUAGAGGACUCAACUGUGCACACCAGCGCAAGCUCCAUUUCUUAGCCGGAGGCAGGGGAUGGAACAUAGGUAAAGCAGUGGCAGGAGCUGCUGUCUGAUGACUUCCCACCUCAAGUCCAUUUUGUCCCUCACAUCUCUUUUACUAAGAGUUCUUGAAUCUCUUUCUCUGCUUUUCCUGAAAACAGGCCAAGGUUGAGACCACUGGACUUCCAUCUGAUUUGAGUGUUCUGCACUGAGAUACAGCUGUGGUUAGAGCUGCUGUGGGAAGCACAGCCAUCAGUUCCUAUGGAGCGGCACCCAUUCUUGUGGUAGAAGACUUGCGGCAUCCAUGUGCCUGCUUUGUUAUGCUGUUAUGGUCCUUGAUUCUAUGAAAUAGCCAACAUGAAAUUAUGAUCAGUUAAGGUUCCUCUAUCUCACUGUGAACGAAGAGGAUCAGUUUUCCACCCAACUAGACAGCCAGACAGAGAAACCUCUUUUCAGAACAUUGUACUGAAUACCUACUAUGUGCUAGUCAUUGGACUUGCAAACACGAGCAAGACAGAGUCCCUGCCCUCCAGAACCUUCCCUGCUUUCCAGAAGCUCCUGAACCUUUUCUGCCUUCUAGAACCUUCCCUGCCUUUCAGAACCUUCUGUGCUUCCAGAAGCUCACUAGCACCUUUCUCUUUCCAGUGCAUUCCUAGUGCUUAUCUUAUAGUAGAAUUUCAUGAGGUUAAUUCACUUAAUAACUCUAGAGAAUUUUCCAUGUUGUAUAUACUGUUCUUGGCUCGGGAAGUUCUUAUUCAUCUCCACGUGUGAUAAGACUUUGGUGAAUAAAUGCACCAUUUUAUUCCGUG